rnacentral:rRNA from 1 species
CGGCACGGGUGAGUAACACGUAUCCAACCUGCCGUCUACUCUUGGACAGCCUUCUGAAAGGAAGAUUAAUACAAGAUGGCAUCAUGAGUUCACAUGUUCACAUGAUUAAAGGUAUCCCGGUAGACGAUGGGGAUGCGUUCCAUUAGAUAGUAGGCGGGGUAACGGCCCACCUAGUCUUCGAUGGAUAGGGGUUCUGAGAGGAAGGUCCCCCACAUUGGAACUGAGACACGGUCCAA